CUGCGCAAAGGUGUUGCCUCCCUGGGUAUUCUGGUGGCUUGGAGCAUCUGGAAGCAUCGCAAUGCUGUCAUCUUCGACGCUGCUGCACCUUCCUCUGACCGCCUCACUCGGUCCAUCCUCGAUGAGGCACACACGUGGGCUCUGGCGAAAGCUAGAGGAUUGGCAGCGUUUUCUAUUUUUGAGCCACCUUAG
rnacentral:rRNA from 1 species